GCACUCGUAGCUCAGCUGGAUAGAGCGCCGCCCUCCGGAGGCGGAGGUCACAGGUUCGAAUCCUGUCGAGUGCG
rnacentral:tRNA from 1 species